rnacentral:piRNA from 1 species
CUCUUCCAUAUGAUGCAGAUGGCAUCGAGC